rnacentral:rRNA from 1 species
AGAGUUUGAUCAUGGCUCAGAUUGAACGCUGGCGGCGUGCCUAACACAUGCAAGUCGAGCGGUAACAGGUGUAGCAAUACAUGCUGACGAGCGGCGAACGGGUGAGUAAUGCUUCGGAAUCUGCCCAAUGGUGGGGAAUAACCAGCCGAAAGGUUGGCUAAUACCGCAUGAGCCCUAAGGGGGAAAGCAGGGGAUCGUAAGACCUUGCGCCGAUGGAUGAGCCGAAGUCGGAUUAGCUAGUUGGUAGGGUAACGGCCUACCAAGGCGACGAUCCGUAGCUGGUCUGAGAGGACGACCAGCCACACUGGGACUGAGACACGGCCCAGACUCCUACGGGAGGCAGCAGUGGGGAAUAUUGGACAAUGGGGGAAACCCUGAUCCAGCGACGCCGCGUGUGUGAAGAAGGCCUGCGGGUUGUAAAGCACUUUUAGUGGGGAUGAAAAGCUCAGGGCUAAUACCUCUGGGUCUUGACCUAACCCACAGAAAAAGCACCGGCUAACUCUGUGCCAGCAGCCGCGGUAAUACAGAGGGUGCAAGCGUUAAUCGGAAUUACUGGGCGUAAAGCGUGCGUAGACGGUUAUGUAAGUCGGGUGUGAAAGCCCCGGGCUCAACCUGGGAAUGCCAUUCGAGACUGCGUAGCUAGGGUGCGGAAGAGGGAAGCGGAAUUUCCGGUGUAGCGGUGAAAUGCGUAGAUAUCGGAAGGAACACCAGUGGCGAAAGCGGCUUCCUGGUCCAGCACCGACGUUCAGGCACGAAAGCGUGGGGAGCAAACAGGAUUAGAUACCCUAGUAGUCC